AGAAAAGCACGUAUCUAAAAGAUCUGGAUGUUAGAUUUCAUUCCACCACUAGCUGUGUAAUCAUGACAGGUCAUUUCAUCGCUUCUUGUCUGUUUCCACAUAUAUAAAAUAUGGAAAUAUAUGCAUUUACCUCAGUGGUGUUGAGAGAUAGUAUAGUAGAAAUUAUCUUUUAAGACUAAGGGUAGUAUUUUGAGUUGGGGAUCAUUUUCCAAAACUUGAGGGCAAAGAGAUGCUACAAAAUAAGUCGUUUUGUUUUGGAUGUACUUUCGUUACUGUCAGUUGGAGCAUAUGUCCGUACCCAAUACUCAAGCAUGAGUUAGUUGCUCUCUCUCGGUAAGAGACACAACAGAAAGCACUACCAUCUAAAUUCAGUGGUGUUACUGCCCAAAAUAACAGGUAAAACUAUCCACUAGCAGAUGGUCUUAACGUCAGGUUAAAUAAAACGGGAUCAAUAUGAAGAUCCUCUGUUACCAAUUCCGAGGUUUCUCAGCAUGCUAGCUGGGCUUUUUUGUGUGUGGUGUAAGGAGGAUAAAAACUACUUAAUUCAGGACCGAGUUUUCACUUCUUGAUGGGUCUAGAAAGAAUUAAUGGCCAAUAUAAGUGUAGAGAGUAGCCAAUAAUCCUAGUCACUUUCCACACUUUUUAUUGGAGUUGCCUAUGAAGGGCAUGGCACCAUUGGCCAAUUUAAACUUAUUCUUGCAGGCCAGAAGUAACAAAUGAUUUAAUCAGGCAAGAGUUUGCAUGAUCCCCAAGCUGGAAAACCAUCCUUCCAGGACAUUCUUUAAAGAGAAGGGAAUUGUCUUUUUUUCCUUUUUAACCAUAAUUUUACUUUUUUACUGUAAUGAGACCAAUCCUGGUGGAAGCUCUGCUUCCAUUGGUGGAAAGAGGAAAAAAAAAUCACAGAAUGAACAGAGCAUAAUUGGUAGCAUUCACUUUUGGUUAUUGGUUAAUGUGGCACUAAAUAAAAGCAAUGUGAUCUACUGGGGAGAAUAAAAAGGAUGAGUCAAAAUAGCCAAGAGUAAAAUCCAGGGCUUCCAUUAUGUUGCAAAUGAGCCUUCUAUGGUAGGACUGAGAAAAACGAAGCAGUGGCUUAAACGAGGUGGAAGUUUCUCUCUGAGGUAAAAAUCCAAGUAUGGAGAUGGGCUGAGUGGCGUGGCACUCCAUGGUGAUAGAGUCCUAGGCACCUUCUGUCUUGUUGCUCUGUCCUGCGUGACCUCCGUUCUCAAGAGGACUGCCACAUGUGGUUCUGCUGGUCAUUUCCUGCACAUGGCCAAAAGCCUGAAAUAACAGGGGUUGAAAUAAGCCCACAAUCACAAGCAUCCUAGGCCACUGGCAGAGUUGGCCUGGGGGAAGGAGGGCCUUUUUUUAAUUCACACAGAGGGAUCACCUGGACCCCAAGUUUUAUGGGGAGGUGGGCCUUUCUCUAAAUUGCACAACAGCCCUCUGGUUGGUGGUCCUGAUGAUUCAAGACAGCUUUUCCAGCCCCAGCCCUUUUGUUCACAUUCUGUUUAGCAGGAAAGAAGAACAAGGGGAACAAACUUCCUCUCUUAAGAGUACUUCCCAGAAGCUGAACAUAACCACAUCUGCUUUGUCUCAUUGUUUAGAACAUAGACACUUGGCCACUUCAAGGGAGCCUGGGAUAUUCAAGGAUGAAGAACAGAAUACAUAAUUUGGGGACAGCUAAGCAUCUCUGCCACACCACCAUCAAAGAGUAAACAGACUAUAGGAUGAGAAGAAGAAAUGUCACAAAUCAUUGGAGUAUCUACGUAAAUAUUUGGAAUAUAGUGGCUACCAGGUGCUUCGUUUUCUUCAGGCUCCAUCUCAUUACGAGGUGGAGAGAAAGGAUGCUACUUGUGGGAACUCUUCAAAUCCAGUUCAAGGUCUGAGCCUUUAGCUAUGUAGUGUUUUGACCUUGGCAGAUUACUGAAGUUUAUAGAGGCUGCAUCCACAGUGUUUGAAAACUUUUCCUCUCACAUGUUAAUUAGACACAUGGAACAAAUGCCACCGAUGAAAGAUGACAGCUUUCGGUCACUGGGUAAGCUGGCGGUGACACAGAAUUGGAAGAGCAUUUCACAGAGAACCCGCGCUCCAGGGCUGCCAGAGUAAGCAGGAAAACAGAUGAUUCCGAAGCAAAAAUGGACAAAAAGCCGACGACCUGACAACCAACCCCCUGCUCCCACCACGCACCAUG